UACAGAGGGUGCUAGCGUUGUUCGGAAUUAUUGGGCGUAAAGCGCGCGCAGGCGGUUUCUUAAGUCUGAUGUGAAAGCCCACGGCUCAACCGUGGAAGGUCAUUGGAAACUGGGGAACUUGAGUGCAGAAGAGAAGAGCGGAAUUCCACGUGUAGCGGUGAAAUGCGUAGAGAUGUGGAGGAACACCAGUGGCGAAGGCGGCUCUUUGGUCUGUAACUGACGCUGAGGCGCGAAAGCGUGGGGAUCAAACAGG
rnacentral:rRNA from 1 species